GACGAACGCUGGCGGCGUGCUUAACACAUGCAAGUCGAGCGGUAGGGCCCUUUCGGGGGUACACGAGCGGCGAACGGGUGAGUAACACGUGGGUGACCUGCCCUUAGCUCUGGGAUAAGCCUGGGAAACUGGGUCUAAUACCGGAUAUGACUCCAUGACGCAUGUUGUGGGGUGGAAAGCCUUGUGCGGCUAGGGAUGGGCCCGCGGCCUAUCAGCUUGUUGGUGGGGUGAUGGCCACCAAGGCGACGACGGGUAGCCGGCCUGAGAGGGCGACCGGCCACACUGGGACUGAGACACGGCCCAGACUCCUACGGGAGGCAGCAGUGGGGAAUCUUGCGCAAUGGGCGAAAGCCUGACGCAGCGACG
rnacentral:rRNA from 1 species